rnacentral:tRNA from 1 species
GUUUUAAUAGUUUAAAAACAAAAUAAUGAUCUUGUAAAUCAUAGAUAGAAAAUCUUUAAAACU